UUGUUGAAAGAUUUAUUGCAUACGGAUCGGCUCGCGUGCCAUUAGGUAGACGGCGGGGUAACGGCCCACCGUGCCGACGAUGGCUAGGGGUUCUGAGAGGAAGGUCCCCCACAUUGGAACUGAGACACGGUCCAGACUCCUACGGGAGGCAGCAGUGAGGAAUAUUGGACAAUGGCCGGAAGGCUGAUCCAGCCAUGCCGCGUGCGGGAAGACGGCCCUAUGGGUUGUAAACCGCUUUUGCGAGGGAGCAAUAAGGUUCACGUGUGGGCCGAUGAGAGUACCUCGCGAAUAAGCAUCGGCCAACUCCGUGCCAGCAGCCGCGGUAAUACGGAGGAUGCAAGCGUUAUCCGGAUUUAUUGGGUUUAAAGGGUGCGCAGGCGGCUUGUUAAGCGGGAGGUGAAAUGCCGGCGCUCAACGUCGGAAGUGCCUCCCGAACUGGUGAGCUUGAAUGACUCUGCCGUGGGAGGAAUGUGUAGUGUAGCGGUGAAAUGCUUAGAGAUUACACAGAACACCGAUUGCGAAGGCAUCUCACGAAGGGUUGAUUGACGCUGAGGCACGAAAGCGUGGGGAUCAAACAGGA
rnacentral:rRNA from 1 species